rnacentral:rRNA from 1 species
AUGGAGCUAAGCGGAGCCACCCUCGUUCUCAUUUCUCUCAUCUCAGUUGUGAUUCUAGUUUCCUUGAUUAGCCGCAAAUUAGCACCAAGUUCCAUGAAGCGGCAGCCUCCUGGCCCAUGGUGUCUGCCCGUAAUCGGAAACCUCCACCAAAUCCUGACGUCGAAGCUGCCGGUCGUCCUUCGGGACCUGGCCAAGAAGCACGGGCCGGUGAUGUACCUUCGGCUUGGCCAGGUUGACGCGAUCGUCAUCUCCUCACGGUGGGCAGCAGAGGAGGUGCUCCGGGAAAAGGACCUCUCCAUGGCGUCCCGGCCGACCCUGAUGAUCUCGGAAAUCAUGCUCUACCGGAACCUCGACAUAGCCUUCGCGCCAUACGGCGCAUACUGGCGGACGCUGCAAAAGAUCUGCACGGUAGAGCUCCUGAGCGAGCGGAAGGUGAGGCAGUUUUCGCCGGUGAGGGACAACGAGACCAUGUCCCUCGUCAGGAACGUUCGUGAUGCCAUGCAGCCGGACAAGCCGUUGAACCUCGCCAAGCUGCUUAUUUCGUGCUCCAACUCGAUAACCGGGAAGACUUCGUUCGGGGAGAUGUGCAGCUCCGAGCUCCAGGAGCAGUUUCUGACGGCGAUGGACGUGGGGCUGAAGCUCAGCGCCGGGCUCUGCGUCGGGGACCUCUUCCCGUCGCUGUGGUUCGUCGACGUUGUCACCGGGUUGAGAGGUCAGCUAUGGUCAGCCCGCCGGCAGCUGGACAAGGUGCUGGACAAGAUCAUCUCUCAGUCCGAGAUGCGGCGGGGCGACCACCUUCCGAGCGUUUUGCUUAGGAUCAGGGACGAGGGGGGGCUUGACCUCCCCAUGGGACUGGAUAACGUCAAGGCAAUCAUAAUGGAUAUGUUCACGGCCGGUACGGAGACGACAUCAUCAGCCUCCGAAUGGGUCAUGUCGGAGCUCAUGAGAAACCCCGACGUGAUGACAAAGGCACAGGCCGAGGUGCGACGAACAUUCGACAAUAAGAGCCCACAAGACCACGAGGGACAUGUAGCGGAGCUACACUACACAAAGAUGGUAAUCAAGGAGAGCAUGAGGUUAAAUCCAGUGGUGCCGCUGCUAGUUCCCCGUGUCUGCAGAGAGACCUGCGACAUCGGUGGGUUUGAGGUCAUGGAGGGAACCAGGGUAAUGGUAAACACGUGGGCGUUGGGUAGGAACCCCGAGUACUGGCAUGAGCCCGAGGAGUUCAGGCCGGAGAGGUUCGAGGACGGCACCGCGACCUACAAAGGAUCGCGGUUGGACUACUUGCCGUUCGGGAGUGGGAGGAGGAACUGCCCCGGCGAUACCUUUGGGAUGGCCGUGUUGGAGCUCAUGGUGGCACGGCUUCUCUACUACUUUGACUGGAGCCUCCCUGUCGGAGUGAAGCCGAGUGAGCUGGACAUGGAAAUGGAAGUUGCCGCAACCUCAAAGAGGAAGAACCAGCUGCACCUAGUGGCAACACCGUACAAGGCAUGCGUUGUCAAUUAA